rnacentral:tRNA from 1 species
AAGGGAGUGGCGGAAUUGGUAGACGCUACAAGUGAAAACGGAGCAGGAAACCUUAAGUUAAACCAGGAAAACUGCGAAAUACUCCGAUACAGGUUCGAGUCCUGUCUCCCUUA